rnacentral:lncRNA from 1 species
UUUGCACGGAUUCUUUUCUUUUUCCCUGUGUCUUCCUCAGACUCAUCAUCAGAGACCUCUUUUUCCUCACUUUCUGAUUGGUCUGGCAUCUCCUCAUCAGACUUUUCUGGAACACCAUUUUCAGUCUCUUCUUGUUCUUCUUCUUGUUCUUCUUGUUCUUCUUCUUGUUCUUCUUCUUGUUCUUCUUCUUGUUCUUCUUCUUGUUCAUCUUCUUGCUCUUCUUCCUUCUCUUCUUCCGAAUCAUCUUCUGUAUCAGAAGCAGGCUUCUUUCUUUCCUUUUUCGAAUCAUCCUCACUCUUUCUUCGACUCUGAAAACAAUCCAACCCAUAAAUAAUGACACACCAUAGCAGUGCCAAAUGAUUGAAAGUUGAAGCCCAAAAAGAAAAAUUAUUAGAAAAGUAGUAAACACUUCAGGUUGUUGGUUAUUUGUGAUUGGUUCAGUCAUUCAGCCAAUGAUAAAGAACCAUUAUCAUCAAUAUCCCAGUGCUUCUGGUAAGAAAUGAAUGAUACCUUGACUGUCCGCCUUGAGGAACUCUUCGAUGCAGAUGAAGUUCCUUUCACCACCCUCUUGCGCUUUUGGCCCUUCCCAGACUGCCACGUGUCGAGAAGAUUAAAACGUGCAAAAAUGCAAUUGCAAGGAGACCAAUCACAAUAUCAAAUGACUUCUCAUAAACAAUUUGAGAUGGCCAACCUCUUUUUCAGCAAGUAACACAGUUGUCGUGGCAUGAGGAGCCACCAAGAAGUCAAUCAGCUUCGUAACAAUAUCUUCCUGGAAGUGCAGACCAACUAAUCAGUACAAAUGACAGUUGGCAUUGUAAACAAAGAAUAUACUAUCUUCAAAUCAAGCAAACAAGUCAAACUCAUUGGCCCUACUACACAGCCAACAAAUAUCAUAUGAAAUGAUCACUCUCAAGAUUGCACCUUCACUAUGACUAACAGACAAUUUCAGGGACCAGAAGGAAAAAGAACCAAGCAUUUCCGAAGAAAAUAGUGUCAAAAGAGAUAAGAUUACCAAAUGUAAUGUUGCACCUACCUUCCUAGUGGAUGUCUUUGAGACUGAUAUGUCAAGUACAUCACACAAUUCGAGCAAUUUCUCUUUAGUACACUUGUCAAAUUUUUCCUUCACCUUAUUUCUCUGCUUUUCCUGCAGUCACAACAUAGUUAAAAAUGAAGCUCGUAGACAAGCCUUCAGUAAUCCACUAAGUCAAUAAUUUUCAGUAGUUUGCCAGAUUAAAAUCUCCUCCACUUCCAAACACCCCAACCCCCCCAACAAAAACCAAAAGAAAAGGAAAGAAAAGCAAUGCUAUAGGCAUAUAUAUUUACCUCAUUAUCAUGCCAUACAAAACCAGAAAACCUUGAUAUAUUACCCUUGAUCUGGAAUGCCUGCAAAAAAUACAGAAGAGGAAGGUUAUCAAACAGUGAAUAGAACGCGUUCACGCUCAAGAAUUUCAGAACCAAACUACUCUCCUAGGACAUCUGUUUAACUCAUCUAAAGUGUAUAGACAAGAAGAGGGGCAAAUCACAGCUGGCACAUUGAGAGAUAAGAACAAAUGUUACCUUCCCUCUCCUCCCAAACAGGAUGUUAUGCAGCAGCUUAAAGGUGUCAUCUGUCUUCCUUCUUGACAAUUUGAAAGCCACUGACAAAAUGUAGACAGAGUUGUUUAAUGCACCUUAUCAUUCUGCAUGGAUGAAUCCCAUAACAUGCAGAACCAGGAAAACACGUCAAUCAAAGUCAUGUGCAUUUCCAGGUUUCAGGCAUUCUAAAUCUCAACACAUUCUAUAGUAGACAAAUCUCAACACAUUCUAUAGUAGACCUAAGUAAUUGUAUGCUGACUGACUUUUGCGUUCACAACCCUUAAAAAAGAUGGUUGUUUCCCAGGAACUAUGGACACAGUUUCGAGAAUUCAGUGAGCUAGAAGAAAAAUGAGAGUACCAUUGGGUAUGUCCUUCAAUGGUGUUCCACGGCCCUGCAAUUCCCAGAUAAUAUGAUCAAAUGCAGAUCCUACACACACAAAUCCAACAACGGCAACAAAUGCAGGGUUUGAUUUAGUUUUACGCACCUUUUCUAUUUGGAAAUCUUUAGAGGCAUCUCUCUCAAUAGAUGCCACCAACCGCUCUACAGACUUCCUCUCUCGUACGGGACGAUCUACAGUAGGAGUCCUAGGGGUCCUGUCAAGCUCCUUCUUCUUAUUUCCUUCAACUUUCCCCCCAGCAGUCCUCUGCCUCCUACGCUUUUUUGUCCCUUUCUCCUCUGUACUUUGCUCAGCCUUCUCUGUCACAGUCUGCUCCUCCAUACUCUCGGUCUUCUCCUGUUCCUUCUCCUCACUCUCCUCAACCUUCUUUUCAUCAUUCUUUUCUUCUUCAGCCUCUUCUUCCUUCUCUUCUCCAAGCUUCUCCUCUUUAAUUUCUUCAUCCUUUCCUUCCCCAUUUUUUACCCCAUCAAUAACCCCCUUAGUCCCCUCCUCAUCAUUCUCCUCAUCUUCCUUCAUUUCCUC